rnacentral:rRNA from 1 species
CAGCAGCCGCGGUAAAACAGAGGAUGCAAGCGUUAUCCGGAAUGAUUGGGCGUAAAGGGCUCGCAGGCGGUUUCUUAAGUCUGGUGUGAAAGCCCCCGGCUCAACCGGGGAGGGUCAUUGGAAACUGGGAAACUUGAGUGCAGAAGAGGAGAGUGGAAUUCCACGUGUAGCGGUGAAAUGCGUAGAGAUGUGGAGGAACACCAGUGGCGAAGGCGACUCUCUGGUCUGUAACUGACGCUGAGGAGCGAAAGCGUGGGGAGCGAACAGGAUUAGAUACCCGGGUAGUCCCUGUCUCUUAUAC